AUAUCUGUAGUUGCACUGUGUGCAGUGGCAAAGUAGUUUCCCAGAAAAGCAGACGACCGGUUGUAAAGGUUGUGUUGAUGACUUACUCGACAUUAAUGAUCGUGGAAUAUCAAAAUUUGUGGCCUUGAAUUGGUCGGAUAUUUCACAUAGGAUGUGGAAGGGAAAGAGCACUCAUCUCAUGCGGGGAGACCUAUUUUUAGCCCAGUGGAAAUAACAGAAAAUGUGUGCAUACCUCACGUGACCGCUGACGUCACACCGAAACAUUUCCCAGAAAUGGAGUCAACGGAAAGCGAUCCCUGCCACAUUUUGAUCAUGGAACCUCAAAGUCUGUGGUUUGCGAAUAGUAAAAUAUGUGAUAAAGGUUCUUAAGCAAGACGACAUGACAGGAAGCUUCUAGGCAACAACUGAAACAACAUUAGAAAAUAUAUUCUGUGAGCAAGCGUGCAAACGAAGAACUGUUCGUCAAAACUAAUAAAAGCCUCUUAUAAGAAAAAGCUGAGGAAGACUUCUCCGACCAACAAGGGCAGACUUCAGUGACCUACGAUCUUCGAAAAGCAGUCCAGAGCUUACAUCUGUUGAUGAGGGGUAUCAUCAGUUAAACAAAUGGACAUGGUAGAAGCAGAAGAAUUUUAAAUGUUCCUCUUUCAGAGACAGGUGGAAUUAGGUGCAGGAAAGAGUAGGGAAGAAAAAGAACUCUGAAAACUUGUUUGUGAUCUUUGUUUUCCAUGAGCAGGACUUGCUUUUCUUGCCAGCAGAAAACUUGAAAGUCAUUCAUGUGUGUCCGUGCUUAUUGUGGGAAUUUCCUCUAGAUAUACUGUUUAAAAGUCGAUUCCCAACGAUAAGUUUCAAACUACGAUCCGAGGCUAAGACUGAUGUUAGAUUCUCAGGUGUAUUUAUUACAUUUUGUGUCAUUACAUUUAAAUAUGGUUUCAUAUGCUUGUCUCUUAUCAUAAGAUAUAUAUAAAGAGAAAGAGAGAUCUGAAAUAUUUUUGAUGAUAUACAAUCUGUUAAGAGUACUGAUUUUGUGCAGGAAGUAGAUGUGUCUACUAAAUAAAUAUUGGUUUCCGCAG